rnacentral:rRNA from 1 species
UACGUAGGGUGCGAGCGUUGUCCGGAAUUACUGGGCGUAAAGCGCGCGCAGGCGGUCUUCCAAGUCAGUGGUGAAAGCCCGGAGCUCAACUCCGGAACUGCCAUUGAAACUGUUAGACUUGAGGAUGAGAGAGGUGAGUGGAAUUCCCAGUGUAGAGGUGAAAUUCGUAGAUAUUGGGAAGAACACCGGUGGCGAAGGCGGCUCACUGGCUCAUUACUGACGCUCGAGGCGCGAUAGCGUGGGGAUCAAACAGG